rnacentral:lncRNA from 1 species
CGGUAAACAGAAGAAACUGAAGCUUAGAGAUCUUAAAUAGCAAAUCCUAGUUUGCUUAGCAAGUCAGUGGGGGGAGGUAGGAGACUAGUGUCUGACUCUGAAGCCCACACCCUCUUCACUGCACAUAUGUCUCCCUGAUCCUGAAAGGGUAGUUUACGACCAUGUCCUUAAGGGCCUGAAUGUUGCACUAAGGAGCUUGGGCUUUAUUCUCUAAUGAAUAUAAGUACCCACAAUGCUCCUCUGCUCUAAAGUUAAGAGCAUCAUCUAGGGAUUGCCGGGCAGAAGGCAAAUCCCACUGGUUUCCUUCUACGCACACAUAUAUCCCCUCCAAGGGUGUCCAGUGAGCCAAUCAACCACUUUUUUCACUUUUAUGCAAACACAGCAGCUGGAUUAGCUGCACCUGCAGCCUCUGCUGUGUCACACAUGAUAAAAGGAUCAAAGUCUAGAACAUGACUUCAGACUAUAAUUUAAGAUAAUUAAGAUUUUUAACCUAAAUUACAUUUUAACAUUUCAUAACAGAGCUGUCAAGAUUCUAUCUAUCAAAACUCUAUCAAGCAAACAAAAGAGGAUAAUUAUAUUUUCAGACACAUGCAGUCAUCACUCUGCUUAAGUUCUCAUAAAAAAGACUUCUGUCUUCUUUCACAUUCUCAUUUUCAAUUGCUCUUCCUCUUCCCAG